GGUCCGUCGUAGAGGGUAACAACCCCGUAGUCGAAACUUCGUUCUCUCUUGAAUGUAUCCUGAGUACGGCGGAACACGUGAAAUUCCGUCGGAAUCUGGGAGGACCAUCUCCCAAGGCUAAAUACUCCCUAGUGAUCGAUAGUGAACCAGUACCGUGAGGGAAAGGUGAAAAGCACCCCGGAAGGGGAGUGAAAGAGAUCCUGAAACCGUGUGCCUACAAAUAGUCAGAGCCCGUUAACGGGUGAUGGCGUGCCUUUUGUAGAAUGAACCGGCGAGUUACGAUCCCGUGCGAGGUUAAGCUGAAGAGGCGGAGCCGCAGCGAAAGCGAGUCUGAAUAGGGCGUUUAGUACGUGGUCGUAGACCCGAAACCAGGUGAUCUACCCAUGUCCAGGGUGAAGUUCAGGUAACACUGAAUGGAGGCCCGAACCCACGCACGUUGAAAAGUGCGGGGAUGAGGUGUGGGUAGCGGAGAAAUUCCAAUCGAACCUGGAGAUAGCUGGUUCUCCCCGAAAUAGCUUUAGGGCUAGCCUUAAGUGUAAGAGUCUUGGAGGUAGAGCACUGAUUGGACUAGGGGUCCUCAUCGGAUUACCGAAUUCAGUCAAACUCCGAAUGCCAAUGACUUAUCCUUAGGAGUCAGACUGCGAGUGAUAAGAUCCGUAGUCAAAAGGGAAACAGCCCAGACCGCCAGCUAAGGUCCCAAAGUGUGUAUUAAGUGGAAAAGGAUGUGGAGUUGCUUAGACAACUAGGAUGUUGGCUUAGAAGCAGCCACCAUUUAAAGAGUGCGUAAUAGCUCACUAGUCGAGUGACUCUGCGCCGAAAAUGUACCGGGGCUAAAUACACCACCGAAGCUGCGGAUUGAUACCAAUGGUAUCAGUGGUAGGGGAGCGUUCUAAGGACAGUGAAGUCAGACCGUAAGGACUGGUGGAGUGCUUAGAAGUGAGAAUGCCGGUAUGAGUAGCGAAAGACGGGUGAGAAUCCCGUCCACCGAAUGCCUAAGGUUUCCUGAGGAAGGCUCGUCCGCUCAGGGUUAGUCAGGACCUAAGCCGAGGCCGACAGGCGUAGGCGAUGGACAACAGGUUGAUAUUCCUGUACCACCUCUUUAUCGUUUGAGCAAUGGAGGGACGCAGAAGGAUAGAAGAAGCGUGCGAUUGGUUGUGCACGUCCAAGCAGUUAGGCUGAUAAGUAGGCAAAUCCGCUUAUCG
rnacentral:rRNA from 1 species